rnacentral:rRNA from 1 species
UACGAAGGGGGCUAGCGUUGCUCGGAAUUACUGGGCGUAAAGGGAGCGUAGGCGGACAGUUUAGUCAGAGGUGAAAGCCCAGGGCUCAACCCUGGAAUUGCCUUUGAUACUGGCUGUCUUGAGUACGGGAGAGGUGUGUGGAACUCCGAGUGUAGAGGUGAAAUUCGUAGAUAUUCGGAAGAACACCAGUGGCGAAGGCGGCCAACUGGUCCGGCACUGACGCUGAGGUGCGAAAGCGUGGGGAGCAAACAGG